rnacentral:snRNA from 1 species
AAUAAUACUGAGAAGAUUAGCAUGGCCCUGGCCCAAGGAUAACACACAAAUUUAUGAAGCCUUCCAUAUUUUU